GAAAAAACGACCGUGAUGGAAGGUGACAAGCAACUGCACGCAGCACACUAAUGGCACAAAAGAAUAAUUUUAGUUGCCAAAUUUCAAAGUCAGAGUUAGGGAUUUUUGACAUUUUGAUGUGAAACCAUCAGAGAUUCCUUAAUUUUUAUAUAUAAUCUUCAACAGCACAGGCAGCAGCAGCACACUUCUGCUACCACAGAAUUUCUACAGGCCUUAAUCAAGCUAUUGUUAUUAUUAUUAUGACUAUUGAAGCUUUUAAAUAAGACAUGUUUGGUUAGAUUUGCAUCAC
rnacentral:misc_RNA from 1 species